GAUGAACGCUGGCGGCGUGCCUAAUACAUGCAAGUCGAGCGAACAGACGAGGAGCUUGCUCCUCUUACGUUAGCGGCGGACGGGUGAGUAACACGUGGAUAACCUACCUAUAAGACUUGGAUAACUUCGGGAAACCGGAGCUAAUACCGGAUAAUAUAUUGAACCGCAUGGUUCAAUAGUUAAAGACGGUUUUGCUGUCACUUAUAGAUGGUUCCGCGCCGCAUUAGCUAGUUGGUAAGGUAACGGCUUACCAAGGCGACGAUGCGUAGCCGACCUGAGAGGGGGAUCGGCCACAAUGGAAGUGAGACACGGUACAGACGACUACGGGAGGAAGCAGAAGGGAAUCUUCCGAAAUGGGCGAAAGCAGGACGGAGCAAAGCCGCGUGAGUGAGGAAGGUCUUAGGAUCGUAAAACUCUGUUAUGAGGGAAGAAAAAAUGUGUAAGUAAAUAUGCACGUAUUGACGGUAACUAAUCAGAAAGCCACGGCUAACUACGUG
rnacentral:rRNA from 1 species